GGGUUAGUUUAGUGGCAAACGGGUGCGUAACGCGUAAGCAACCUGCCUCAUACUGGGGGAUAGCCCGGCGAAAGCUGGGGUAAACCCGCACGGUCCUGUUUACUCACCUGGGUGGACAGGUAAACAUUGAUGGGUAUGAGAGGGGCUUGCGUCUGAUUAGCUAGUUGGGGGGUAACGGCCCACCAAGGCGAUGAUCAGUAGGGGUUCUGAGAGGAUUGGCCCCCACAUGGGUACUGAGAUACGGACCCA
rnacentral:rRNA from 1 species